AUUUAAGCAAGUGCAGCUGUUUCUUGAGUUUCCUAGGCAAAGGAGCAGGAGUGAGAUGUACUUGGAUGAAAGGUUCAGAAGUAAAUUACCACAAAAAUGCAGAUGGAACCUGUAAUACUUGCCUCCACAUCAUUCAUCCAGCGGUCUGGGAGCCGCAGAUCAGCGUGUGAAAGACAGCAGUUAAAAUACAGGGCCCGUUCCUAUCUCCUCUGCUAUGCACUGGUGUAAAUCAAGCCUAAGACUCAUGAACCCAAUGGAGUGUAAAAUUGGUGUGAGUGAGAAUCAGUGCCAUCUCCUGUACCUAUAUGUCAGAUAAAAUAUUUGUUUCAAGUGUUUAUAGACACUGUUAUCAUAAAUAGCUUAUUUUCUUAUACAUUAAAUAGAUCAAAAGAAACCAGAGUAAUUUUCUAACAUGACUAAAAUAAACGCAUAUAUUUAUUGCCAUGUCACUUGCAGGAGUCACGCUCUCAUUGAAUCUAAGUAAGAAACCGGUGAUUGAUUUUUAUUUUUUUUCUUGUUUUAAUAAAAGGAAUCACAGCACUCUA
rnacentral:lncRNA from 1 species